AAAUUGAAGAGUUUGAUCAUGGCUCAGAUUGAACGCUGGCGGCAGGCCUAACACAUGCAAGUCGAGCGGUAGCACAGAGAGCUUGCUCUCGGGUGACGAGCGGCGGACGGGUGAGUAAUGUCUGGGAAACUGCCUGAUGGAGGGGGAUAACUACUGGAAACGGUAGCUAAUACCGCAUAAUGUCGCAAGACCAAAGUGGGGGACCUUCGGGCCUCAUGCCAUCAGAUGUGCCCAGAUGGGAUUAGCUAGUAGGUGGGGUAACGGCUCACCUAGGCGACGAUCCCUAGCUGGUCUGAGAGGAUGACCAGCCACACUGGAACUGAGACACGGUCCAGACUCCUACGGGAGGCAGCAGUGGGGAAUAUUGCACAAUGGGCGCAAGCCUGAUGCAGCCAUGCCGCGUGUGUGAAGAAGGCCUUCGGGUUGUAAAGCACUUUCAGCGGGGAGGAAGGCGUUAAGGUUAAUAACCUUGGUCGAUUGACGUUACCCGCAGAAGAAGCACCGGCUAACUCCGUGCCAGCAGCCGCGGUAAUACGGAGGGUGCAAGCGUUAAUCGGAAUUACUGGGCGUAAAGCGCACGCAGGCGGUCUGUCAAGUCGGAUGUGAAAUCCCCGGGCUUAACCUGGGAACUGCAUUCGAAACUGGCAGGCUAGAGUCUUGUAGAGGGGGGUAGAAUUCCAGGUGUAGCGGUGAAAUGCGUAGAGAUCUGGAGGAAUACCGGUGGCGAAGGCGGCCCCCUGGACAAAGACUGACGCUCAGGUGCGAAAGCGUGGGGAGCAAACAGGAUUAGAUACCCUGGUAGUCCACGCCGUAAACGAUGUCGAUUUGGAGGUUGUGCCCUUGAGGCGUGGCUUCCGGAGCUAACGCGUUAAAUCGACCGCCUGGGGAGUACGGCCGCAAGGUUAAAACUCAAAUGAAUUGACGGGGGCCCGCACAAGCGGUGGAGCAUGUGGUUUAAUUCGAUGCAACGCGAAGAACCUUACCUGGUCUUGACAUCCACAGAACUUUCCAGAGAUGGAUUGGUGCCUUCGGGAACUGUGAGACAGGUGCUGCAUGGCUGUCGUCAGCUCGUGUUGUGAAAUGUUGGGUUAAGUCCCGCAACGAGCGCAACCCUUAUCCUUUGUUGCCAGCGGUCCGGCCGGGAACUCAAAGGAGACUGCCAGUGAUAAACUGGAGGAAGGUGGGGAUGACGUCAAGUCAUCAUGGCCCUUACGACCAGGGCUACACACGUGCUACAAUGGCAUAUACAAAGAGAAGCGACCUCGCGAGAGCAAGCGGACCUCAUAAAGUAUGUCGUAGUCCGGAUUGGAGUCUGCAACUCGACUCCAUGAAGUCGGAAUCGCUAGUAAUCGUAGAUCAGAAUGCUACGGUGAAUACGUUCCCGGGCCUUGUACACACCGCCCGUCACACCAUGGGAGUGGGUUGCAAAAGAAGUAGGUAGCUUAACCUUCGGGAGGGCGCUUACCACUUUGUGAUUCAUGACUGGGGUGAAGUCGUAACAAGGUAACCGUAGGGGAACCUGCGGUUGGAUCACCUCCUUA
rnacentral:rRNA from 1 species